AUUGAACGCUGGCGGCAGGCCUAACACAUGCAAGUCGAACGAGUGGCGGACGGGUGAGUAAUGUCUGGGCAACUGCCUGAUGGAGGGGGAUAACUACUGGAAACGGUAGCUAAUACCGCAUACCAUCGGAUGUGCCCAGAUGGGCUUAGCUAGUAGGUGGGGUAACGGCUCACCUAGGCGACGAUCCCUAGCUGGUCUGAGAGGAGGACCAGCCAAACGGGAACUGAGACACGGUCCAGACUCCUACGGGAGGAAGCAGUGGGGAAUAUAGCACAAUGGGCGCAAGCCUGAUGCAGCCAUGCCGCGUGUAUGAAGAAGGCCUUCGGGUUGUAAAGUACUUUCAGCGGGGAGGCGUUAACCGCAGAAGAAGCACCGGCUAACUCCGUGCCAGCAGCAGCGGUAAUUC
rnacentral:rRNA from 1 species